UACGUAGGUGGCAAGCGUUGUCCGGAUUUACUGGGCGUAAAGAGCGCGCAGGCGGUCGUCCAAGUCGCGUGUGAAAGCCCCCGGCUCAACUGGGGAGGGUCACGCGAUACUGGUCGACUCGAAGGCAGGAGAGGGUAGUGGAAUUCCCGGUGUAGUGGUGAAAUGCGUAGAUAUCGGGAGGAACACCAGUGGCGAAGGCGACUACCUGGCCUGUUCUUGACGCUGAGGCGCGAAAGCUAGGGAGCAAACGGG
rnacentral:rRNA from 1 species